GAAAUGCGAUAAGUAAUGUGAAUUGCAGAAUCUCGUGAAUCAUCGAAUCUUUGAACGCACAUUGCGCCCCUUGGUAUUCCAUGGGGCAUGCCUGUUCGAGCGUCAUUUGUACCCUCAAGCUCUGCUUGGUGUUGGGUGUUUGUCCCGUCUCCGCGCGUGGACUCGCCCCAAAGUGAUUGGCAGCCGGCGUACUGGUCCCGGAGCGCAGCACAUGUCGCGCAAACGAGUGCCUUGGUACGGCGGCGUCCAUAAGCCCCUCUCUCACGCUCUUGACCUCGGAUCAGGUAGGGAUACCCGCUGAACUUAAGC
rnacentral:misc_RNA from 1 species